rnacentral:rRNA from 1 species
AAUUCGAAGCAACGCGAAGAACCUUACAGGUCUUGACAUCCCGAUGCUAUUUCUAGAGAUAGAAAGUUACUUCGGUACAUCGGUGACAGGUGGUGCAUGGUUGUCGUCAGCUCGUGUCGUGAGAUGUUGGGUUAAGUCCCGCAACGAGCGCAACCCCUAUUGUUAGUUGCCAUCAUUCAGUUGGGCACUCUAGCGAGACUGCCGGUAAUAAACCGGAGGAAGGUGGGGAUGACGUCAAAUCAUCAUGCCCCUUAUGACCUGGGCUACACACGUGCUACAAUGGUUGGUACAACGAGUUGCGAGUCGGUGACGGCGAGCUAAUCUCUUAAAGCCAAUCUCAGUUCGGAUUGUAGGCUGCAACCCGCCUACAUGAAGUCGGAAUCGCUAGUAAUCGCGGAUCAGCACGCCGCGGUGAAUACGUUCCCGGGCCUU